AUCUUCUUAAUAUAAUUAGUAUAUUUGACUUCCAAUCAAAAAGUCCAGAUAUGGAGAAGAUA
rnacentral:tRNA from 1 species